GUGUGAUGAGAGACAGACACGUUGUAUCCUUCACAGUUGUCCUGAUGAUGCUCUGAAGUGUUUGCGACUGUGUCGUUCUUUUGUAAUAAAUAGCAUUCUGUCUGUAUUUGAGUUUUUAAUAUGGAGUAUUUAAUAUAUUGAAGUCCAUUCUGUUGUCCAUCGGUCUCCAGGGAACCAGAAAUGAAUGCAGUGUAGAGUGACUCUCCAUGAAUAUAUAUGUGGCAGCCUGUCAGAACAUCACUGAAAACAAAGCAACCGGCUGAAGAAACAUGAGUGCCACAGCGCCAGUGUGGGGGGUUGCUAGGAUGAUAAAGCUGGUUGCUAGGUUGUGCUAGGUGAUUAUUAGGCUGUUCUGACUGAUUGCUAGGUGUUUUGGGUUCUUAGAUUGUUUCUAAGAUGGUUGGUAGGGUGUACUUGCUGGUUACUAUGGUUGUUAGGGUAUUUUAAUUGGUUGUUGGAUUGUUGCAGGGGUGAUUGCAACAGGAUUUCAACAGGGUGAUUCUGGUUGGUUGCUAAGGUGGUUGUCAAGGUGAUUGUUAGGGUGCUCCUUCUGUUUUGGGUCCUUUAAUUGUUCCUAAGGUGUUUGUCGUGGUUGCUACGUAAUUCUGGCUAGUUAUUAGGGUUGGGAUAUUUUGGGUGGUUGUUAAAUUGUUGUUAUGUGUUCUGGGUGGUUGCUAGGGUAUACUUGCUGGUUACUAGGGGGCUUGUAGGGCAAUUUGAAUGGUUGUUUAAUUGUUGUGAGGGUGAUUGCAACAGGAUUUCAACAGAUUGAUUCUAGUUGGUUGCAAUGACUGUUUUGGGUGGUUAUUAGGGGGUUCCUGCUGGUUGCUUGGUGGAUUCAACUUUGUUUUGGUUGGUUGUUGGAUUGUUGGAGUUUUUCCAGGUGGUUGCUAAGGUGUUCUGGUUGGUUGCUAGCUGACCAUUAGGUUUGUUUGUUGCUAAGGAGUUCUCGGUGGCUUCUGUGGUGUGGUGUUGUUUUUGAUGUUUUAGGUGGUUGUCAGGUUGUUGCUAGGAUAUUCCAGGUGGUUGCAAGAUAGUUAUUAGGGCGUUUGGGGUAGUUAGGGUGUUCUGACUGGUUGCUAGGCAGAUGUUAGGGUGUUUUGGGUGUUUGUUACAAAGGUGUUCUGAGUGGUUGAUAAGGUGUUCUGGCUGGUUGUUAGGGGAAUGUUAAAUGUUUUUGGUGGUUGUUAUGUGACUGCUUAUGUGUUCAAGGUUUUUGUGAGGGUAUGCUAGCUGGUUGCUUGGUGGUUUUAGGGUAUUGUGGGUAGUUGCUAGGUGGAUGUCAGGGCAUUUUGGGUGGUUGUUAGGUUGUUGUCAGCAUUUUCGGAAUUGCUGGGAUGUUGUUGUUGGUUGCUAGGCAGUUGUUUGGAUGUUGUUGUUGUUGUUACGGUGUUUUGGGCUAUUGUUACUUUUUUUGCUGUGGUGUUCUGUUAGUUGCUAGGUGGUUAUUAGAGUGUUCAUGUAUUUUAGAUUGUUGAAAGUGUAUUAAAAGAAGUUGCUAGGAUGUUCUGUCUGGUUCCUAGAUGGAUGUUAGGGUGUUUAUUAGAUUGUUGUUAGAUUGUCCAGGGUGGUUGCUAUGUUGUAGCAUGUGAAGGUAUUUUGGGUGGUUGUUGUAUUGUUGCUACUGUGGUUGUUAGGGCUUUUGCAGUUGUUGGGGUUUUCUAGGUGGUUGCUAGGUGGAUGUUAGGCUGUUUUGGAUGGUUGUUACAUUGUUAUUGAGAUGUUUAAUGUGAAUACUUCAGAGUUCUGGCUUCUGGCUUGUUACUAGAUGGUUGUUUACUGUCUCUAUAAUAUUAGUCAUGACUGAGGUUCCUUCUUUAGUAUAAGUCUAUCGGAUUUUAGUACCCAUUUUAAUGCCCAUUAGGAGAUUUUAAAUUAUAAAUCUAUGUUUAUGCCUGUUUGUAACAUGCACUUUUUGAUGAAAGCACUAGAGGUCACUGUUUCCUAAUAACUGGCAACAGUUUCAGUGGAGGAGCUUGGUGUGUGAUUUACAGUCAUUUGCAUGAAGCAGCUCAGUGCAUGAAACUCAAAUGAGAAAUGUGGGCCAUUAUCUCAGAGGUGACCCUCGCCGCAAUACUGCUGUGAUGUGCUAAACUGUAACAAAGCAUUUAUAGUUUCCACAUUAUCAUUCCAAACAGUGUUUGCAUUCAGGUGGCGUAUGCGCUCAGCAGGGGCCCCUGGCUCUCAGGUGGGGGUUUGGACCCGAAAACACCCCUGUUCUCGUUUACAGCAACAGAAAGCCUGAGUGAUGUCAAGCAGCUCGUCUCACUGUGAAUUAAGGGCAUCUACUCAUAUGAAAGAGGGUGUAAUUGUGAGAUUUAGUGGUCGAGCUAAACUCAGAACUGAUGAAGUGGAGCAUGAGAACUGAUUGAAUCAUGACUGACAGCAUUUGGAAUGAAGGUUCCUGGGGUCGGUGCGUCCCGUCCUGAGGGUACAGACAGCCUUCAGACGCCCUCAUCUCAUCGAAAACGCCCGGAAGAGCGCGGCCCGUGGCGUUUCGUUGGUCAGCGAGGAGCUCUGCCGGAGUCUGUCUGGCACUGCGGGUCGGACGCCCUGUGCCAGCCCCGACAUGUGCAUAACCGUGUGAAGCUGAACACCUGAGCGCUCGUGCCAGAUCUGACGGGCCCGGUGCUCGCAUAAGAUCGUGUUUAUUUUCUCAAGUGCGGAGCGGCGCGCUCGGAUUCCAGGCGACUGUAUAUAAUCAUUUUGACUCGCUGCACCAAAAGACAGCGUUUGACCACCGCUUUAUCCGGGGGAAGAGCGAGCCUCAUAAAUGCAAGCCUGUUUUCAUUUCGGAAGAUCACACUUUUGAAUUACUUCCACUGAGGCGGCGAGGCAGAACUGGAGCGUUGUCCUCUAAUCGAAUUUACUCGAAACGCCGCCCGUUUUGUUCCGCGAAGUCAAACAUUAGCGUUCUGCCGGGAAGGCGUUGCGAGGGAAAGGUCCUCGGGUAACGCUUUGUUAUGUAGCCUGCAGUCCGAGCGCGAGCAUUUUUCAGGUUAUUCGCUCACAAGCAGGCAAAUUCCAGCCUGCUAACUGCUUCAGUUAAAUGCCAUCAUCACCCAUGCGGCCUUAUGGGACACUUGAUGACUCAAACGGAGAUGGCGGGCUUCGUGACACAAUAGCGCUGCGGUUAUGAGAGCUGAAUGCAAAUGGGAGACGAAACUGAGAGGAAAGAACUAACGCAAAACACAGUCGCACGACUAAUUCGUACGUGUUUUACGAGGUGGUUAAUUCUGCAGGAUUCGUCUCAAACCCAGUGGCGGAUAGGUUUAGGGGUUAGCUGUAGGUCAUUCACGCAAAUUGGCCACACGCAAAACACAUACGACUUCUUACGACUUUCUACGAUUUAGCCAUCUAGUAAAUUAUGUAACGUGCUACCUGGGAAAAAAUUUGGGUAACCGAACAUUUUCAACAAAUAGGCUAGAUGACUUUAACAGGAACAUUAGCAAAAGGUUCAGAAGGCAUUCAUGUUAAAUGGUUGGAUCACCCAUUUGAUCCAGUCAGUCAGACUGUUUGUGAUUCAGUUUGAUUCGUUUGGACUGUUUACUCACUUACUGAAUCGUUUCCAGUGGUUGCUUGCAUUGAAAUAAUAGCAGGAUACUUCAUAACAGAACACACAGAGCACCAGAUGAGGUGGAUAUUACCUACUGUUCAUUUUAGGAAACAAAAUUUGUGAGCAACAAAGCAGAUGUGUAGUGCACACAAGUAAAAACAAUUUCUGCACAAACCUUAAAACCUAUCCAUAAAGGUAUACGUAUGAUGAAAAUUAUGAAAAGCUAAAAACAUCCCUGCUGUCGUUUAAAAAAAAAAAGGAUGCAAUAUGCAUGAAUAUAUGAAACAUUAGCAUGCUACAUUCUGGGCACAUUAUGUUAGUACUCGCAGGUUUAUAUUAUCCUCUACAUAAUAAAAAUGGUUAUUUGGCCUUUCUGAUACAAUUUUGUGUGAAAAUGCCUUUAAGUCUCCGGUGAGGAAAAAAAGAGUCAAGAAAACAAUAUUACAAGUUUUGGCUGACAUUUCCAGUGUGAUGGUGAUUACUUCUGGUUCAUUCAUCACACUUGAAAUGUAAGGUCAUGCUCAAUGCAUUGCAGAGUGGGACACGUGCACAUUUUGGCAAACGCAGUAGGUCACCUGGGCAUUUCAUGCAUAUGGAAAAUUUGCAUAUUAAGUACGGUAUAUACCGCAGAAACAGUAUUAUGCUAUUCGGAACAAUAGCAAAUGUCACCAAGAGCAGCAAAAAGCUUCUUUUUGAAGGUCAGAACGAUAUUGUAAGGAAUGGACCCCACAAAAUAAUUGUCAUAUUGAAGAACAAUUAAAUUUAACAUUUAAAAUUGGCUGAACGCAAACCCAUGCCUUUGACAUAGCAUCACUUGAAACACAGAAACGCUGUUUUUAAAGCAACGCCGUGUUGCAUCAAAAGCUACCGCUCUUAUGCGGUGUAGAAAGUGUAUUUGCAUUGACAAACAUGCUUUGGCAUUUAGCAUUACACUCUCAUCAGUCUUCUUGGGGCCGCGGGCUGACAUGGCUGCCUUUUUGCUUUAAAUAUUUAUGCAGAAUCUGGAGGGGACAUGGGAGCAAUUAGAAAUUCAUCAUCUGGACCUGAUCAAUAGCUAAUACAGGUUUAUAAAUAAAAUGCUUUUAAGGGAAGUUACAUCCUCGCCCGUUUGCUUUCGGCAGACAGACACAAUUAGUCCACAAUGCAGCCAUUUGCAAUUAAAUUACUGAAUAUCUGGAUUGGCAUGAGUGAGAUUUGUUCAUUCGUUGUUGUUGUUGUUGUUGUUGUUUUUAUAGACGAUGCUGGGAAAAGUUAUUGGCUGUCUCCUAUUUUUAUAUUAGCAUUGCGGGAUCUCAUUGUGUCUGUUGGAUUAUUUAUGUAUGAAUGCCACCCAAGCAUAAACAAACAUUACGAGGCAGAUUGGGUCAUAAAAUAUUAUUGAACGGCAUUAUGUUUAUUGCAGAUUUCCUAGAUUAAGAUAAAGUUUGCAUUUGGUUAUAUGAUGCAACUUGCGCCCGCACACACACAUAUGGGCUGUUUUUACUGCGACACCCCCAGUUAUUGAUAUCACAGGGGGACGUCAAAUAUUCUGGCGAUAGAGGGCUUGGAAUAAUGAUGUGUUUUAUGUGGAAAUCUUUUUUUUCUGUAUUAAAAUUGCAUAAUUAAACGGCCUGGUGUCUGUUUAGGUUUUUAGAAUACAUCCCCUGACAAAUUUA